CCUACGGGCGGCAGCAGUGGGGAAUAUUGCACAAUGGGGGAAACCCUGAUGCAGCGACGCCGCGUGAGUGAAGAAGUCAUUCGUUAUGUAAAGCUCUAUCAGCAGGGAAGAAAAUGACGGUACCUGUGUAAGAAGCCCCGGCUAACUACGUGCCAGCAGCCGCGGUAAGACGUAGGGGGCAAGCGUUAUCCGGAUUUACUGGGUGUAAAGGGAGCGUAGACGGCAGUGCAAGUCUGGAGUGAAAGGCGGGGGCUCAACCCCCGGACUGCUCUGGAAACUGUACGGCUGGAGUGCAGGAGAGGGAAGUGGAAUUCCUGGUGUAGCGGUGAAAUGCGUAGAUAUUAGGAGGAACACCAGUGGCGAAGGCGGCUUACUGGACUGUAACUGACGUUGAGGCUCGAAAGCGUGGGGAGCAAACAGGAUUAGAUACCCCAGUAGUC
rnacentral:rRNA from 1 species